AAAACGACUCUCGGCAACGGAUAUCUCGGCUCUCGCAUCGAUGAAGAACGUAGCGAACUGCGAUACUUGGUGUGAAUUGCAGAAUCCCGUGAACCAUCGAGUCUUUGAACGCAAGUUGCGCCCGAAGCCAUUCGGCCGAGGGCACGUCUGCCUGGGCGUCACGC
rnacentral:rRNA from 4 species